UUAAAAAAUCAUCGCAAAUUAUCACAGGAGUGGAUGACUCGACGAUCCGUGCCUUCUCCAUUGAUGAAUCAUCUUUCGGAAGGAACGCAAUUCUCCGCGAGGUGCGUCUCCUCCAUCACUUCAUUGUCGCCAGACGUUGCCAUUGCUGCCUCAGAUGACCGCGGAAGAUUAUCAGUUAUCGAAAACGUGACUGAAUCUCGUGAGGAAGAUGUUACAUUAUCGGAGGUACUCAAUAACUAGACGGGACGUAUCUACUGAAUCUCAACAGAUGGACGACAGAUCUCGGAGGAAUAUAUAUAUGCGUAUGCGCGCCAAAGCCGGGGUGUAACGACUAUCACUAUAGGAAGGAAACUACCGAAGCUUUUCAGUCUUGUCGGGGA